rnacentral:rRNA from 1 species
AGAGUUUGAUCAUGGCUCAGAGCGAACGCUGGCGGCAGGCUUAACACAUGCAAGUCGAGCGCCCCGCAAGGGGAGCGGCAGACGGGAGAGUAACACGUGGGAACAUACCUUUUGGUUCGGAACAACUGAGGGAAACUUCAGCUAAUACCGGAUAAGCUUACGGGGAAAGAUUUAUCGCCGAAAGAUUGGCCCGCGUCUGA